AGUUGACAAAGAGAGAGGGGCCCGCGCAAGUGCGAAAAUAUUGACAAGUAGGUAAACGCCCUUUUGCAAC
ensembl:ncRNA C35A11.10 ncRNA